rnacentral:other from 1 species
UUAAAGCUGCGUUGUUCGUACUAAUAAUAAGUUUUAACCUUUGAACUGUAAUAGGGAGUUUUAAUUGAAGUUGGAAUGGCGAGCGUCACACUGCGGUGAAUGACGAUAUACAGGAAAGCUUCUGCGAACACCCACUUUGAGGAGUGGUGGUUUAAAACUUUUUAUUAAACAAAAUACGGCAAGGCGGCUUUGCC